CAUGCAAGUCGAACGGUAACAGGAAGCAGCUUGCUGCUUCGCUGACGAGUGGCGGACGGGUGAGUAAUGUCUGGGAAACUGCCUGAUGGAGGGGGGAUAACUACUGGAAACGGUAGCUAAUACCGCAUAACGUCGCAAGACCAAAGAGGGGGACCUUCGGGCCUCUUGCCAUCGGAUGUGCCCAGAUGGGAUUAGCUAGUAGGUGGGGUAACGGCUCACCUAGGCGACGAUCCCUAGCUGGUCUGAGAGGAUGACCAGCCACACUGGAACUGAGACACGGUCCAGACUCCUACGGGAGGCAGCAGUGGGGAAUAUUGCACAAUGGGCGCAAGCCUGAUGCAGCCAUGCCGCGUGUAUGAAGAAGGCCUUCGGGUUGUAAAGUACUUUCAGCGGGGAGGAAGGCGAUAAGGUUAAUAACCUUGUCGAUUGACGUUACCCGCAGAAGAAGCACCGGCUAACUCCGUGCCAGCAGCCGCGGUAAUACGGAGGGUGCAAGCGUUAAUCGGAAUUACUGGGCGUAAAGCGCACGCAGGCGGUCUGUCAAGUCGGAUGUGAAAUCCCCGGGCUCAACCUGGGAACUGCAUUCGAAACUGGCAGGCUAGAGUCUUGUAGAGGGGGGUAGAAUUCCAGGUGUAGCGGUGAAAUGCGUAGAGAUCUGGAGGAAUACCGGUGGCGAAGGCGGGCCCCCUGGACAAAGACUGACGCUCA
rnacentral:rRNA from 1 species